rnacentral:rRNA from 1 species
CAGUCGCCGCGGGAAAACGAAGGGGGCUAGCGUUGUUCGGAUUUACUGGGCGUAAAGCGCACGUAGGCGGACUUUUAAGUCAGGGGUGAAAUCCCGGGGCUCAACCCCGGAACUGCCUUUGAUACUGGAAGUCUUGAGUAUGGUAGAGGUGAGUGGAAUUCCGAGUGUAGAGGUGAAAUUCGUAGAUAUUCGGAGGAACACCAGUGGCGAAGGCGGCUCACUGGACCAUUACUGACGCUGAGGUGCGAAAGCGUGGGGAGCAAACAGGAUUAGAUACCCGAGUAGUCCCUGUCUCUUAUAC